CCAGCUACAACAUGAAAGAAAGCUUCACUAACAUAACAAGGAUAAAAACAGAAGAAAAGGGAGAAACAAGGAUUCUAUGAAAAUAAAUUUUAAUUUGAAUUCAGGAGUGCUUCAAUAAGGUGAAUUAGAAGAUUUGAAGUCAAGUGAGAGAGGAAAACCAGG